rnacentral:rRNA from 1 species
UACGUAGGGUGCAAGCGUUAAUCGGAAUUACUGGGCGUAAAGCGUGCGCAGGCGGUUUUGUAAGUCAGAUGUGAAAGCCCCGGGCUUAACCUGGGAACUGCGUUCGAAACUGGGAGACUUGAGUGUGGCAGAGGGGGGUGGAAUUCCACGUGUAGCAGUGAAAUGCGUAGAUAUGUGGAGGAACACCGAUGGCGAAGGCAGCCCCCUGGGUUAACACUGACGCUCAUGCACGAAAGCGUGGGGAGCAAACAGG